rnacentral:rRNA from 1 species
AUGAAUGGNNGCGGUACUUUGACCGUGCUAAGGUAGCGUAAUUAUUUGUCUUUUAAAUGGAGUCAUGUAUGAAUGGGGUUACGGGGUUAAGCUGUCUCAGUUUUAUUUUUUUGAAGUUACUAUAUAGAUGAAAAAGUCUAUAAAUUGAAAAAAGACGAGAAGACCCUUAGAGUUUUAUAUGAUAUCAAUUUUGUUGGGGCAACACGGGAACAAAUAAAUUUCCUUUAUUACAAACCGAUUUUAAUAAAAAUGAAUAAACUACCUUAGGGAUAACAGCAUAAUUUAAUUUUAAGUUUGUGACCUCGAUGUUGGACUAG